rnacentral:rRNA from 1 species
UACGUAGGGGGCAAGCGUUGUCCGGAAUCAUUGGGCGUAAAGAGCGUGUAGGCGGCUCGGUAAGUCCGCUGUGAAAGUCCAGGGCUCAACCCUGGAAUGCCGGUGGAAACUGUCGAGCUAGAGUCCGGAAGAGGCGAGUGGAAUUCCCGGUGUAGCGGUGAAAUGCGCAGAUAUCAGGAGGAACACCAAUGGCGAAGGCAGCUCGCUGGGACGGUACUGACGCUGAGACGCGAAAGCGUGGGGAGCAAACAGG